UCUCAAGAUCUUGAGGUCGGAGGAACGAGAUGUUGGCCCGGUUCAAUUAGAAAGUAGUGCUUCUGUCUUACUAGAAGUUCUAUUGUUUUAAUUGAGCCGUGCCAAUAUCACGUUCGUUGCUCGGAGUGGUAUCAGGACAAAGGAAGAAGCUUCAUGAUGCAUAAUUGCUUUGCUUGGCUUGACAUUAUCCCAGAAAGCAAAAAAACUGGAGCCUUUUGUGUCAUUUCCUUGAGCAGUAUGCCACAGAUUUCUAAAAGUUCUAUCAACCAUUGUCAACAUUUUUAUUUGAUGUAGCCAAUGCUCGAGUUAUUAGGUUGUAAUUUUGGCAGCAAUGCAAACGUCACAGAAGGCAUGAACAUUCCAUAAA